UACGAAGGGGGCUAGCGUUGCUCGGAUUUACUGGGCGUAAAGGGCGCGUAGGCGGACAGUUAAGUUGGGGGUGAAAGCCCGGGGCUCAACCUCGGAAUUGCCUUCAAUACUGGCUGUCUUGAGUGUGAGAGAGGUGUGUGGAACUCCGAGUGUAGAGGUGAAAUUCGUAGAAUAUUCGGAAGAACACCAGUGGCGAAGGCGGCUCACUGGCCCAUAACUGACGCUGAGGCACGAAAGCGUGGGGAGCGA
rnacentral:rRNA from 1 species